AGCGAACGCUGGCGGCAGGCCUAACACAUGCAAGUCGAGCGCCCAGCAAUGGGAGCGGCAGACGGGAUAGUAACACGUGGGAACGUACCUUUCAGUUCGGAACAACCCAGGGAAACUUGGGCUAAUACCGAAUACGUCCGUAAGGAGAAAGAUUUAUCGCUGAAAGAUCGGCCCGCGUCUGAUUAGCUAGUUGGUGAGGUAAUGGCUCACCAAGGCGACGAUCAGUAGCUGGUCUGAGAGGAUGAUCAGCAUCACUGGGACUGAGACACGGCCCAGACUCCUACGGGAGGCAGCAGUGGGGAAUAUUGGACAAUGGGCGCAAGCCUGAUCCAGCCAUGCCGCGUGGAUGAUGAAGGCCUUAGGGUUGUAAAGUCCUUUCGGCGGGGAAGAUAAUGACGGUACCCG
rnacentral:rRNA from 1 species